CAGUAUACAAUUGGACCGUGGAUGAGGUGGUACAGUGGCUGAUCACAUAUGUGGAGCUGCCUCAGUAUGAGGAGACCUUCCGGAAGCUGCAGCUCAGUGGCCAUGCCAUGCCAAGGCUGGCUGUCACCAACACCACCAUGACAGGGACUGUGCUGAAGAUGACAGACCGGAGUCAUCGGCAGAAGCUGCAGCUGAAGGCCCUGGAUACAGUGCUCUUUGGGCCUCCUCUCUUGACUCGCCAUAAUCACCUCAAGGACUUCAUGCUGGUGGUGUCUAUCGUUAUUGGUGUGGGCGGCUGCUGGUUUGCCUAUAUCCAGAACCGUUACUCCAAGGAGCACAUGAAGAAGAUGAUGAAGGACUUGGAGGGGUUACACCGAGCUGAGCAGAGUCUGCAUGACCUUCAGGAAAGGUUCGGGAGGCCUUGAGGAAAGCAGAGAAGGAGCUAGA
rnacentral:sRNA from 1 species